CAGGGUUUCCCCUGGGUCAAUUAUUUUUUUCGCCACCUCUUUCGCCAAAACAAUAUAUUUUUCGCCACUUUUUUUUUUAUCGCCAAGUAACAUAAAUAUAUUUUUCGUUUAAAAUUUAGCUUUUUUCUACCCCCCCCCUCCCUUAAAUAAGAUGAUUUUGUCCCAUAGUGUCUAUGAUUAUUCUCUCAAACUUAUUUUAGAGUCU
rnacentral:lncRNA from 1 species